rnacentral:lncRNA from 1 species
AUGUCGACAUUUGAAAAUAUUUAUUUGUUUGUUCGUUUUUUUAUUUUUUGCGCUCCGUGCCGCGGGACGCGAAGGGCGCGGAGGAAACGCAGCCCUCGCCUCGCCGUUUCCUCGAGAGAAAUUGCGGCGAGCACCGGGAGGAGUUCCCGAGGCCGGCCCCGCGGUGCCGUCCCGCUGCCGCCCGCAGCCUCGGGGCUUCCUGGCUGUAAGGCUCUGGCUAUUUGUUCUGGGGUACCGAGACGUUCACUCCGGACCGUGUCACGAAUCAGCUUCAGCCGCACCGCCGCGCGCGUAGCACCCCCGCCCCCCGUGACAGUGCUGAUGGGCCCGCUGGGAUGGACAAGUGUAGUUAAAGAAAUUAAUGUACUUCCCCGACCCUGGAUCCCGGUGCCCGUACGCGAGCGCGUUGCAGCGGACCGCCCGGCGCUGGCUUUGGGAGCAGCCCGAAGAGGAGACGCCCUUAGGACGGAUCGUAGAUGUCCAUCGCGAACCGCGCCCGGGCAGGCGGGGAGGUUCCGGCGGGCACAGCGUGGCUCGGCCGGGAGCGGCGCGGGGUGACGGGCCGAGAGCCCUGGGCACCCCGACGGGGCGGGCGGCCCUCGGCGUCACCGCGGCCUCUCCGGGGCUGAGCCCGUGGCCCCGGGUGGGCAGCGAGUGGAGGAACGUGUCCUCGGGCCAGGGGGGACGUGACACCGGCCGCCUGUCCUCCUGCCUCGCACUGCCCCGCAUCUUCCCGGCUCACAGCGCAUUGAGCCCAAUCGUUUUGAUCCCUGGCAAUAAAUUCAGGGCCUUCAGCA